GUUAUAGGGUCAAGCGAAUAAGUGCAUGUGGUGGAUGCCUUGGCGAUUACAGGCGAUGAAGGACGCGGUAGCCUGCGAAAAGCUUCGGGGAGCUGGCAAACGAGCUUUGAUCCGGAGAUGUCCGAAUGGGGAAACCCGGCCCGAAUGGGUCAUCCUUGACUGAAUCCAUAGGUCAAGAGAAGCGAACGCGGUGAACUGAAACAUCUAAGUAGCCGCAGGAAAAGAAAUCAACCGAGAUUCCCAAAGUAGUGGCGAGCGAAAUGGGAAGAGCCUUGUACCUUUUAGCAUGUGAGUUAGCAGAACGCUCUGGAAAGUGCGGCCAUAGCAGGUGAUAGCCCUGUAUGCGAAAGCUUAUGUGUGGAACUAGGGGUACGACAAGUAGGGCGGGACACGUGAAAUCCUGUCUGAAGAUGGGGGGACCAUCCUCCAAGGCUAAAUACUCGUAAUCGACCGAUAGUGAACCAGUACCGUGAGGGAAAGGCGAAAAGAACCCCGGGAGGGGAGUGAAAUAGAUCCUGAAACCGCAUGCAUACAAACAGUCGGAGCCUCUUAAUGGGGUGACGGCGUACCUUUUGUAUAAUGGGUCAGCGACUUACGUUCAGUAGCAAGCUUAACCGACUAGGGAAGGCGUAGCGAAAGCGAGUCCGAAUAGGGCGCUUUAGUUGCUGGGCGUAGACCCGAAACCAGACGAUCUAUCCAUGGCCAGGAUGAAGGUGCGGUAACACGUACUGGAGGUCCGAACCCACUAAUGUUGAAAAAUUAGGGGAUGAGCUGUGGAUAGGGGUGAAAGGCUAAACAAGUCUGGAAAUAGCUGGUUCUCUCCGAAAACUAUUUAGGUAGUGCCUCGUGUAUCACCUUCGGGGGUAGAGCACUGUAAUGAUUGUUGGGUCCAUUGCGGAUUACUUCGUCAUAGCAAACUCCGAAUACCGAAGAGUGCAAUCACGGGAGACAGACAUCGGGUGCUAACGUCCGGUGUCAAGAGGGAAACAACCCAGACCGCCAGCUAAGGUCCCCAAGAUUGGCUAAGUGGGAAACGAAGUGGGAAGGCUAAAACAGUCAGGAGGUUGGCUUAGAAGCAGCCAUCCUUUAAAGAAAGCGUAAUAGCUCACUGAUCGAGUCGUCCUGCGCGGAAGAUGUAACGGGGCUAAGCCAGUCACCGAAGCUGCGGAUGCAGAUUUAUCUGCAUGGUAGGAGAGCGUUCUGUAAGCCUGUGAAGGUGUCUUGAGAAGGAUGCUGGAGGUAUCAGAAGUGCGAAUGCUGACAUGAGUAGCGAUAAAGGGGGUGAAAAGCCCCCUCGCCGUAAGCCCAAGGUUUCCUACGCAACGUUCAUCGGCGUAGGGUGAGUCGGCCCCUAAGGCGAGGCAGAAAUGCGUAGCUGAUGGGAAGCAGGUUAAUAUUCCUGCACCAUUGUUAGAUGCGAUGGGGGGACGGAUCGCGGAAGGUUGUCCGGGUGUUGGAAGUCCCGGUCCUUGUAUUGGAGAAGGCGCUUAGGCAAAUCCGGGCGCGGAAUUCAAGGGUACGAGGCGAGCUGCUUAAAGCGGCGAAGCAAUUGGAAGUGGUUCCAAGAAAAGCCUCUAAGCUUCAGUCUAACAAGACCGUACCGCAAACCGACACAGGUGGGCGAGAUGAGUAUUCUAAGGCGCUUGAGAGAACUCGGGAGAAGGAACUCGGCAAAUUGGUACCGUAACUUCGGGAUAAGGUACGCCCUUGUAGCUUGACAGGCCUGCGCCUGGAGGGUGAAGGGGUUGCAAUAAACUGGUGGCUGCGACUGUUUAAUAAAAACACAGCACUCUGCAAACACGAAAGUGGACGUAUAGGGUGUGACGCCUGCCCGGUGCCGGAAGAUUAAAUGAUGGGGUGCAAGCUCUUGAUUGAAGUCCCGGUAAACGGCGGCCGUAACUAUAACGGUCCUAAGGUAGCGAAAUUCCUUGUCGGGUAAGUUCCGACCUGCACGAAUGGCGUAACGAUGGCCACACUGUCUCCUCCCGAGACUCAGCGAAGUUGAAGUGUUUGUGAUGAUGCAAUCUCCCCGCGGCUAGACGGAAAGACCCCAUGAACCUUUACUGUAGCUUUGCAUUGGAUUGUGAACAAAUCUGUGUAGGAUAGGUGGGAGGCUAUGAAGCAGGGACGCCAGUUCUUGUGGAGCCACCCUUGAAAUACCACCCUGGUUUGUUUGCGGUUCUAACCUUGGUCCCUGAAUCGGGAUUGGGAACAGUGCAUGGUAGGCAGUUUGACUGGGGCGGUCUCCUCCCAAAGUGUAACGGAGGAGUACGAAGGUACGCUAAGUACGGUCGGAAAUCGUGCUCAUAGUGCAAUGGCAUAAGCGUGCUUAACUGCGAGACCCACAAGUCGAGCAGGUGCGAAAGCAGGUCAUAGUGAUCCGGUGGUUCUGUAUGGAAGGGCCAUCGCUCAACGGAUAAAAGGUACUCUGGGGAUAACAGGCUGAUACCGCCCAAGAGUUCAUAUCGACGGCGGUGUUUGGCACCUCGAUGUCGGCUCAUCUCAUCCUGGGGCUGUAGCCGGUCCCAAGGGUAUGGCUGUUCGCCAUUUAAAGAGGUACGUGAGCUGGGUUUAAAACGUCGUGAGACAGUUUGGUCCCUAUCUGCCGUGGGCGUUGGAUAUUUGAAGGGGGCUGCUCCUAGUACGAGAGGACCGGAGUGGACGAACCUCUGGUGUACCGGUUGUCACGCCAGUGGCAUCGCCGGGUAGCUAUGUUCGGAAGAGAUAACCGCUGAAAGCAUCUAAGCGGGAAACUUGCCUUAAGAUGAGAUAUCCCUGGGAACUUGAUUCCCCUAAAGGGUCGUUCGAGACCAGGACGUUGAUAGGCUGGGUGUGUACGGACAGUAAUGUCCUUAGCUAACCAGUACUAAUUGCCCGUGAGGCUUGAUCCUAUAACC
rnacentral:rRNA from 1 species